AGACAACAUUGCCACAAAUGGUAUUGCUAGGAACCAUGGAUCGUCUUUGGUUUCACCAAAUCAUUCUCUUCGCCGAACCCACUUCACUUCUUUUCCCCAAAACCCUUAAUUCACUUCAACCCAUUUCACAAACACUUCCACAUCUCUCAUCAAACCUCUCUCAACUUCCUCUCCUAGAGGAGGAAAUCUCAUCAUCAGCCUCAUCUAUCAUCACUCCUUCAAAGCAAAAAGGAAACUUUAUUGGUGAUAAUAACAUACAUUACAAAUGAGAUUACAUCAAUAAAGGAGGGAAGUUCAUAAAGCUCAAUCAUGAGCUAGCACAACUACAAGGUUGGAGAGGAACCAACACAGGCCAAAGGAAGAGAAAAGAAGAAAAUGAAAAAAUAAAAAGGAUGACUGCAACAACCAACACGUUGAUGAUGUUGAUGAUGAGGAGGAGGAUGAGAAUGAAAUAAAAAUGAAGAAAAGAUCCACAAGGUUGAAUGAUAUCUUGAAAUGCAAAUCGCGGUCACACUCAUCGUCUCUACUACAUCAAAUCCACCGCAAAAAGAUCAUACCAUACUCCCGUUCAGUGACGAGGUUACAGAAAACAAUGAGCUGCAAGAGCCUCUUAGAGCUCGAACUCGAAGAAGUAAAAGGGUUCAUGGACUUAGGUUUCAAAUUCAGCAAAGAAAGUCUAAGCCCGCAAAUGAUGAGCGUGUUGCCUGGAUUGCAAAGACUUGAACUAGCAAAUGGCGAUGAAGAAGUAGAUAAAGAUGAUAGAGAUAUAAUUGGAGAAGAAGAAAGAGAAGGCGAAGAAGAGAAGAGAAGUGUAAUGAGGCCAUACUUAUCCGAAGCAUGGGAUAUUAAAAGACCCGACUCGCCAUUGCUGAACUUAAGGUUGCCAAGAGUCUCUGCAGCGGGUGAUAUGAAGAAACAUCUUAGGUAUUGGGCUAGAACUGUGGCUUCUGUAAUUCAACAAGAAUUUUGAGUGAGAAAGAGAGGAGAGAGAUUGUAGUGUUCUUCCACCGACAAGUUACAAGUGUAAGAUAGGAAGUUGUGUGAAGUGAUGAUGAUGAUCGAAAUAAUUGGUGUGUGUAAAUAUAAAUUUUGUUUUGCUUUUUAUUUUGGGUAUGUAAAUGUACCAAGGCAAUGAAAUGGAAUUUUCUCAAACAAAGUA